AGCGAACGCUGGCGGCAGGCCUAACACAUGCAAGUCGAACGAACCUUUCGGGGUUAGUGGCGGACGGGUGAGUAACACGUGGGAACGUGCCUUUAGGUUCGGAAUAACUCAGGGAAACUUGUGCUAAUACCGAAUGUGCCCUUCGGGGGAAAGAUUAAUCGCCUUUAGAGCGGCCCGCGUCUGAUUAGCUAGUUGGUUGAGGUAAUGGCUCACCAAGGCGACGAUCAGUAGCUGGUCUGAGAGGAUGAUCAGCCACAUUGGGACUGAGACACGGCCCAAACUCCUACGGGAGGCAGCAGAGGGGAAUCUUGCGCGAUGAGGGAAAGCCUGACGCAGCCAUGCCGCGUGAAUGAUGAAGGUCUUAGGAUUGUAAAAUUCUUUCACCGGGGACGAUAAUGACGGUACCCGGAGAAGAAGCCCCGGCUAACUUCGUG
rnacentral:rRNA from 1 species